UACGUAGGGUGCAAGCGUUGUCCGGAAUUAUUGGGCGUAAAGAGCUCGUAGGCGGUUUGUCGCGUCUGCUGUGAAAACUCGGGGCUUAACCCCGGGCCUGCAGUGGGUACGGGCAGACUAGAGUGCGGUAGGGGAGACUGGAAUUCCUGGUGUAGCGGUGAAAUGCGCAGAUAUCAGGAGGAACACCGGUGGCGAAGGCGGGUCUCUGGGCCGAAACUGACGCUGAGGAGCGAAAGCGUGGGGAGCAAACAGG
rnacentral:rRNA from 1 species